CAAUAGCGUAUAUUGAAGUUGUUGCGGUUAAAAAGCUCGUCGUUGGAUUUCUGUUGAGGUCGAACAGUGCCGCCCUAUGGGUGCGCAACUGGCUCGGCUUCGGCAUCUUCUUGGAGAGCGCAUCUGCACUUAACUGUGUGGAUCGUACUUCAAGUCAGUUACUUUGAGGUAUUGUGAGUGUUUCAAGCAGGCUUACGCCGUUGAAUCCGUUAGCAUGGAAUAAUAGGAUAGGACCUCGGUUCUAUUUUGUUGGUUUUGAGAGCUGGGGCAGCGAUUGAUAGGGACGGAUGGGGGCGUCCGAACUUUACUGUCAGAGGUGAAAUUCUUAGAUCGGUCAAAGGCGAACUACUGCGAACGCAUUCGCCAAGAAUGUUUUCUUUAA
rnacentral:rRNA from 1 species